CCGGCUCCAGGCAGAGGAGUCUAUUUGGCUGAUGAGGAAAACAGGCCUGCAGAAAGCCAGUACCUUGCAGGGCAACACCAGUGUCUGCCACUCAGGUGUUGCCUGGACAGGGUGGCACUGGUGAGGUAGAGGCCACCUGGGCAUCAGGACCCCCAGCCUGGUGGGUCCCAGGUCCCCCCAUACGCUGGGUGACCCAGGAAGGUUCCUUUAAGCCACUCCUCUAGCAGCCCCCUCCUCCUCCAAAAAGAGGGCCUGGCCUGGACAAGCAGGGGGCUGCAAGAUGCCAGGGGCCACCCUGGCGAUGCUGCUAACUCAUAGAGGCUUUCUACGUGCACAGGGCCAAGUCCUUCACCUGUGGUGGCUCAGGCCCCCAGAUGGUACCAGAGAGGGGAGUACCCCAGGAAGUCUGGACAUGGCCAUUCCGGACAGUACCAAAGGCUGCUGGGAGAGAAGGUCAGAAGCCAGCCAGGAGAGUGACAGCCAAGUUCUCUCUACUGUGUCCCCAGACUUGGGGAGAGUGACAGAGGAGCACAGAACUGAGCAUGGCUCUGCUGGGUGGCCCCUCUGCCUGGGGGGCUCGAGGAACUACAGGAAGUGGGGGGAGGCUGCCAAGCAUCUGGCUGCCAGCUGGGCCCUGCUCACCACCACCACGGCCCCAAGUCACACCUUUUCAAAUGAGCCUUUUGGGUGAGAUCCCAAAUCCAGCGUCACCAGGCAAGCAAGGGGCCCCUAACUACCCAGGGUGCCCCAAGGUUUCUGGGACCCUUCUGCUCCCACCCUCAAAACCUCUGGCUUCCUGCUAGGAGGCCACAGACCAAACCUCCCUGUCCCUACUCUACACGUGUGGAAAUCAAGGCUCAGAGCCAUUCUGGACAGCACUCAUCAGAACUGGCCAGAGACUAGACUUGAACCCAGACCUCCAGGCUUUACUCUAGGGCCCUUCCCAGUACUCCUCAGGGCCAGACCCAAGGCCCUGGGCAGGAUUGACUUCUGGUCCCCAUCUUCCUGCCUUGAUCUGCCCUCCAGCUCCAGCUCCCUGCAUUCUGGGAUCCACCUGCCCCCCAGCUUGGCCCCUAAUCAGUCUCACAGAGGUUCUCAUGCAUGCGCAUGGGCCAGGGAGCACAGUGCAGUGGGGGACCUAGCCAGGAAGAAGCCCUCACCGGAGGGCCGGCCCCAAACCCACCUGGGGAGUCAGCAUCUGCUCUGCUUAGGAAUGGAGGGCAGGGAGCAGCCACCUCCAGGAGCCCAGGUGCUCUGUGAACACCUAGAGGGAGAGGGCGCCGUCGCCUCCCGAAUCCUGGCUGGUCCCCAAGCAGGCACUGCCCCCUGGAGGCCAGCCUCGAGACCACAGUGGGGCUCCAGGGCCUGCUGGUAUGUUUCCUGGAAGUGGGGUGGGGGUGUUCAUCAUGGGUCAGAGCCACCCACAAGACUCCCCAGAUGGUCGCCAAAGCCUACUCCCUGCCAGGGGCUCUCAAAGGAUUCCUUGGGUCUCAUGGGCCCAUCUCAUGGGAAGAUCUCCCCAGGGGUCACAGGACACCUACA